CCCCCCAUCCAGAAGGAUGGUGGUCUCCAGGCCGGCCUCCACGUAUGUCCACGCCUAACCCUGACCUGACCUCCCACACCCCGCACCUGGGCGAGGAGGCGCACCUGCUGCUCUCAGGUGAUAUGGGUCUGGGUGCAGAUCCCCUUCCGUCCCCAAACUCCCCUGACUUGAGGGCUUGUGGGCCCCAGCCUCGAGCUUCCUCACAGUUCUGAGAUGUAUUCUUCAAAGAUACCUGUCCACUGCCGGUGUCAGGUCGCCCAGCCUUCUGUGCAGCCUUUUCCUUUCCUUGUCGGUACUUAAUACAACUACUAUUGCAUAGCUUAAUAUGGCUACUGGGAGGGCCAUUGUUCUUACUGUCACCUGUAGGACACAUCCUUUUAAUUCUAACCCAAAGGGAACAGCACAAAUGUGGAUAAUACUAACCUCAGAAUGCUGGUGCUGCUUUAAAAAACCUAUUAAAGGUUUGGAUUUUUUUUUUAAGUUUAUUUAUUUUGAGAGUGAGAGGGAUAAGCUGGGGAGGAGCAGAGAGAGGAAGGGAGAGAGAGAAUCCCAAGCAGGCUCAGCACAGAGCGUUUUGUAGGCUCCAUCCCUCCAAAGGGGCCAUCAGAAAGGUGAGAACAUGACCUGAACUGAAAUCAAGAGUCGGAUGCUUAACGACUGAGCCACCCAGGCGCCGCAAAGGUUUGGAUUUUGAAGCUGAGUAGAGGCACAGGCUCAGAGUCCCACAAGUGAGCUGAGUAAAUUUAGACUUGUAGAUCUAUGACAAAUGUCUGUCUAGAGCCACUGCUGAAAGUCCCUUAAAGAGGCAGAAAAGCAGAGGCUCCAGGGCACAUGGUACAGACUCUAGAAAGGGGUCAGUGUUUUGUUUGUCUGUCUAGAUUUGCAAGCUGGUAAUUCCUGUGCCAUUUAUUUGCUCCAGGCCUUGGUGUCUGCUUUUAUUUUGAUUAGCUCUAUUAUGGGAGAGGCAGAGAGUGAGGUGAUAAGCACACCAAUCUUGCAGCCUUUCCUGCCUGGGUUUGAUGCCCACUCCACCCCUUUAUUCGUUUUCAAGGGUUAGGUUAUCAAAGUACCACGGACUACGUGGCUUAAACCACAGAAGUUUAGGGCCGCCUGGGUGGCUCAGUCAGCUAAGCCGCCAACUUCAGCUCAGGUCAUGAUCUCACAGUGCGUGAAUUCUGUGCUGACAGCGCAGAGACUGGAGCCCGCUUCCCGUUCUGUGUCUCCCUCUCUCUCUCUGCCCCUCCCCUGCUCUCUCUUUCUCUCUCAAAAAUAAAUAAACAUUUAAAAAAAAUUUUUUUAAGGAAGUUUAUUUUCACAGUUCUGGAGGCCAGAAGUCUUAGAUCAAAAUGUCAGCUGACUUGGUUCCUUCUGAAGACUAUAAGGGAGAAUCUAUUUCAUGCCUCUCCUCUAGCUUCCGGAUGGUUUUGCUGGCAAUUUUUGGUAUCCUUGGCUUGUAGAAGCAUCUGUUCCAUCUCUGCCUUCACCUUCCCAUGGCCUCCUCCUUGUGUGCAUAGCUGUGUCCAAAUUUCCCCUCUUUAUAAGGACACUAGUCAUACUGGAUUAGGGUACCCUACUCUAAUAUGGCCUCAUCUUAAUUGAACUAAUUACAGCUGUAAUGGACCUAUUUCCAAAUAAAGUCAUAUUCUGAGGUACUGGGGGGUGAGGUUUCAACAUAUGGAUUUAUGAAUUAAUAAUUCAAUAUAUGAAUUUCUUAUAAAACUCUAUAAUAACCCCUUAUUAAACUGUGUGAAUGUAGGCAAGAUCCCUUUGUGUUUUAGUUCCCUCAUCUGUAAAAUGCAGUGGUGACAACUUCUUGCCUCCCUUAUAGAGUUUGAAGAAGUAUUACAUUAGUAAAUAUAUAGAAAACACUUAGGCGAGUUCUUGGCACAGAAUAAACGUUAAAUAAAUGCUUAUUAUUACAGAUACUAAAUGGAAAAAAUUAAGGCACAUUUUGUACUAACACAGGGGUCUUGCUUAGCUCUUUUUUUAGAAAACUAACUUUUUAGAAGGUCUUUUAGCACAUUUAUGAUAUAAUGCAAAUUAACCUUGUACAUUUAAGUCUCUGAUUGGCCAACCUAAAAACUUCAUGACUAGUGUAACAUUUUGUUGUAAUGAUUUGAAAGAUCCAAUUCAACCAUAAAGUAAAAGGUUAAUUGCUCAAAAGAAGAAAUUGAAAAAAACAUAUAUUGUCCCAGGAAACUACUGUACUGCUGUGCAUUAUAGUGGUUCCUCUCCAGGCCCUCUGUGAUUGUGUUCAUAAUGUGACCAUCUGGAUACCCACUGCUGUUAGCCACAGGUGAAGGGCACAGUAUUUCACAUUUUUGCAGUUGUGAUUGUCAGUAAUUAACCUGAGGGGGCUAACUCAAACUGAUUCUGCUGGUUAAAGGUCAAGAGUUGGAGGUCCCAGUGAUAAGAAACAGUGUUUUGCCUUCUAAGUACCACCAUAUACACUCACUCACCAUAACUCACAAGUGACUUACGGACCAUAUACACUCACUUGAUACAACAUUCUUUUGUGACUUGUCAGGAAUGUAAUUUGAAUAAUAUUAUACUUUUUAGAACACGAUCAAUUAAAAUUAAUAAGGUAUUUUUAUAGAGUAAGUUAGGAAUAUUGAAGUAACAUGAAGUGUUUCACUCGUUAUUAUUUUAAUUAAUUAUAUUUAAAAUCUCUUGAAAAAUUAGGGGCCCUUAUCUUCUUACAGAAUUAACAUUCUGUGACAGUCUAUGGCAGCCUUCAACAAAGAGAUUCCAUGGAAAAAUACCAGUGGAAUGAGAAUGAAAGAAUUAGUAAGGCCCAGAAUGAGGUCAAGUGAAAAAACAAAAAAAUCAUUAUAAUCCUUACAAUAAGAAGCCAUACAGGAAUAAAUGGUCCAUAAAGAAAGGAGCUUGAAUAGCAAAAAACCAAAAAAACAAAAACAAAAAUGAAAAACGGGGGGUGAGGGGGGGAACAGGGACAGAGGGAUAGUAAAAGUGUACCCUGAGUACAAUGGAUAAAUAAUUUGUGGUGUAUUCAUAUGUUCAUGUAAUGGCCAACUAUCCAACAAUGAAAACUAAUAAACUACAGCUACAACUAUUAACAUGAAUGCAUCUCGAAAACAUAAGACUGGGUCACAAAAGCAAGUCACAAAAUAAUAUACGUGGCAUGACUAAUAUAUUAACUUUAAAAACAUGCAAAAUGACACAGCAUGUCAGUUAUGGCACAUGCAUAUGUGGUAAAAUUGAGAAGCAAGCAACAAUAAUAAACAGAAUUCAGGUGAGUGAAUACCGCUGGAUCGAGGAAGAGAAAGAAAAAGAGAAGGCACGUGACAUGGUGCGGUGCUUGCAGGGCCUGGUUAUAUUCUGUUUCUUACGCUGGAAGGUGGCUUCUGGACAAUGGAACUGAGGUAGGAAACAAUGAGUUGAGAA